CACUCCUGCGGGAGGCAGCAGUGGGGAAUAUUGGACAAUGGGCGCAAGCCUGAUCCAGCCAUGCCGCGUGAGUGAUGAAGGCCCUAGGGUUGUAAAGCUCUUUCACCGGUGAAGAUAAUGACGGUAACCGGAGAAGAAGCCCCGGCUAACUUCGUGCCAGCAGCCGCGGUAAUACGAAGGAGGCUAGCGUUGUUCGGAUUUACUGGGCGUAAAGCGCACGUAGGCGGACUAUUAAGUCAGGGGUGAAAUCCCGGGGCUCAACCCCGGAACUGCCUUUGAUACUGGUAGUCUUUAGUUCGAGAGAGGUGAGUGGAAUUCCGAGUGUAGAGGUGAAAUUCGUAGAUAUUCGGAGGAACACCAGUGGCGAAGGCGGCUCACUGGCUCGAUACUGACGCUGAGGUGCGAAAGCGUGGGGAGCAAACAGGAUUAGAAACCCUUGUAGUCCC
rnacentral:rRNA from 1 species